AUGGAGAACAGCUUAUCUGUUUUUGGGUUACCGACUUGCUCUUCUUUCUCUUCUUUCUCUUUUUUUCUCUUUUUUCUUUCUUUCAAAAUUCCAGAGAGGAUCACCUCAUACAACCAUGGCGGAAGC
rnacentral:ribozyme from 12 species